UACGGAGGGUGCAAGCAUUAAUCGGAUUUAUUGGGCGUAAAGGGCGCGUAGGCGGGGAUAAUAGUCAGAUGUGAAAUCCUGGGGCUCAACCUCAGAACUGCAUUUGAAACUGUAUCUCUAGAGGGUAGGAGGAGAAAACGGAAUUCCACAAGUAGCGGUGAAAUGCGUAGAUAUGUGGAAGAACACCGGUGGCGAAGGCGGUUUUCUAUCUUAUUCCUGACGCUGAGGCGCGAAAGCAAGGGGAUCAAACAGG
rnacentral:rRNA from 1 species